rnacentral:tRNA from 1 species
GCGAGCGUGGUGGAAUUGGUAGACACACUGUCUUUAGGUGGCAGCGCUUAACCGCGUGGGGGUUCGAGUCCCCCCGCUCGCA